rnacentral:rRNA from 1 species
AUGGGCGACCACUACCAGACGCUGGGGCUCGGCCGCGACGCCAGCAAGGCCGACAUCAAGAACGCCUUCUUCCGCCUCGCCCACCGCCACCACCCCGACCACCACACCCACGCCAACGCCGCCGCCCGCGCCGAGGCCGCGCUCCGCUUCCGCCAGGUCAAGGACGCCUACGACGUGCUCCACGACGACCGCCGCCGCGCCGAGUACGACUCCUGGUUCCGCUCCUCCUCGCGUUCGAGUGGCUACGAGCGCCGUCACGGACACGGACACGGCGGGAACUCUUCCUCGUCGUGGUCUGCGAACGACCACAGGCACCGUCGCGAACACGGCGGCGCCACCUCGUCGGGUUCGAGGGCUCCGCCUCGGCCGAGAGGCCGCUCUAGACUCGACAACGUGAUAUUCUGUGUAUUGUUCAUGCGGGUGCACCUACACCCGGGAGCUGCCACACCUUUCUCCUAUAUAAUCGCGUGCGUGCGCAUUUGUAGGUCUAUCAGUGCUCGGAGAAAUUGGAGAAAGGUGGAAGAAAGAUCCGGAAAAGAUGGAACGAGAUUUGGAAAUGAUGAGGACAGCCUUCCUGAAAACGAAGCAACAGUGGGAAAAUCUGAAGCGAGAAUGGGAAAAGAGGAACCCCUGGAAAUCAUGGAGGGAGUGGAGAGAGAAGGACAAAGAGAUGAACUAGUGGACGGACAUAUUCAGAUCUUCACUUCAGGCAUACAGCUAGAACAGUUCAGAUUUCAAAGUCCCUACACGUCAAGAGGACGACUUGGCAUGUCUUUUGGUGUGGCGGCGUUUAUGUUACUUUACCUUUGUGAGGGAAGCCGAGGGGAUUUCUCCCUACUUCUACCCACGGGACGCCUUGCUUGCGUGCCGACGGGUAGUGCUGAUCCUUUGUUGUGGUGUGGUCUUGCGAACAUGGUGCACGGCGUCAAGAGUACGAGGAGGCUGACGCCACGGCCGCUAGAUGACAGACCCAAUCAUGAAGAGCUCGGCUUGCUAGCUACUGCCGCGGCGGCGGCGUCGAUGGGCGACCACUACGAGACGCUAGGGCUCGGCCGCAACGCCAGCAAGGCCGACAUCAAGGCCGCCUUGUUCCGCCUCGCCCACCGCUACCACCCCGACCACCACGCCCACGCCGACGCCGCCGCCCGAGCCGAAGCCGACCGCCGCUUCCGCCAGAUCAAAGAGGCCUACGAUGUGCUCUACGACCAACGCCGCCGCGCCGAGUACGAUUCCUCGUCCCGCUCCGCCUCCUCCUCGGGCUCGAGUGGCCACGGGCGCCGUCACGGCGGGAACUCUUCAUCGUCGUCGUAUUCGAGUAAGCACGGGAACCGGCAGGGAGGUGGUACUUCAGGCUCAUCUUCCUCCUCGUCGUCUUCGAAUGACCACGGGAACCGACACAAAGGUGGUGGCACCUCAGGCUCAGGCUCAUCCUCCUCCUCCUCGUCUUCAAGCGACCAUGGGAACCGGCAGGGCGGUGGCACUUCAGGCUCAGGCUCAUCCUCCUCGUCGUCGUCUUCGAGUGACCAUGGGUACCAACACAGAGGUGGCACUGGCACCUCAGGCUCAGGUUCAGGCUCAUCCUCCUCCUCGUCUUCAAGUGACCACACUAACCGGCAGGGAGGUGGCACCUCCUACUCCUCCUCAUCGUCUGCGAAUGACCACGGGAACCGUCGUGGACACAGCGGCACCACCUCCUCGGGUUACAGAGGCCCUCUUCGGCCGAGAGGCGGACCUAAAGUCCGUACCGUGAUCUUCGGGUAUUUCUAUGAUCGGAGGAACUGCAAUGGCAAAGGAAAGCUGGGAGCGAAAUCCGGAAAGGAUGGAACAAGAAUUGGAAAUGGUGAAGAUAGAGUUCUGGACGAGGAAGAGACAGUUAGAAAAUAUGAAACGAAAGUGGGAAAAGAACAAUCCCUUGAAACCAUGGAUGGAGUCGAAAGAGAAGGAGAUAAAGUCAGAGUUCGAGAUGAGGAGGCAACAGUGGGAAAAUAUGAAACAGGAAUGGGUAAAGAACAAUCCCUGGGUGAGUGA